GUGCGGCGAUGCCUGAUGAACGUGAAUACCUUCGGUGAAACGUUCAGUUCAAGUUAACUUUCUAGGUUAGAUUUGCGUUAGCUGUUGCUUCCCAUUUGGAUUAUAUUAUCGAGCCUCUCAUCAAAUGCAGCCUUGAAAAUAAAGUUUUUUGAAGGGGCUCCAGCACUCCAACUUGCUCCUUCUCUCCGAAUUUCCUACAUUCUGGAUUAAGAAAGCGGCUACUAUUCUAUGACAUG